rnacentral:rRNA from 1 species
AUUGAACGCUAGCGGCAGGCCUAACACAUGCAAGUCGAACGGUAACAGGAAACAGCUUGCUGUUUCGCUGACGAGUGGCGGACGGGUGAGAAAUGUCUGUGAAACUGCCUGAUGGAGGGGGAUAACUACUGGAAACGGUAGCUACUACCGCCUAACGUCGCAAGACCAAAGAGGGGGACCUUCGGGCCUCUUGCCAUCGGAUGUGCCCAGAUGGGAUUAGCUAGUAGGUGGGGUAACGGCUCACCUCGGCGACGAUCCCUAGCUGGUCUGAGAGGAUGACCAGCCACACUGGAACUGAGACACGGGCCAGGCUCCUACGGGAGGCAGGCGUGGGGAAUAUUGCACAAUGGGCGCAAGCCUGAUGCAGCCAUGCCGCGUGGAUGAAGAAGGCCUUCGGGUUUUAAAGGACCUUCAGCGGGGAUGAAGGGAGUGAAGGUAAAACCUUUGCGCAUUGACGUGACCCGGAGAAGUAGCACCGGCUUACUCCGUG